AUGGUAAAACCCAAAAGAGCAGGGGGAAUAGGCUUUCAUGAUAUGCACAUAUUUAACCAAGCCCUCCUCGCAAGACAAGGGUGGCGACUCCUCCAAAGACUGGAUAGCCUUUGUGCGAGAGUCCUAAAGUCGAAAUACUACCCUAAGGGAAAGUUGUUGGAUACUGUGUUUGCCUCUGAUGCUUCACAAGCAUGGAGGGGCAUCGAACAUGGGCUCAAACUUCUGGAAAAAAGGCUUGAUAUGGAGAGUGGGAAAUGUAAAACACAUCCAGAUCCAAAUGGAUUAGUGGGUUCCUAG
rnacentral:rRNA from 1 species